rnacentral:RNase_P_RNA from 1 species
GCAGGCGGCUGGGCGAUCGCUGCCGGGGAGCUGAAAAUGCUCAUCGGGAGAGGAAAGUCCGAACUCCGCAGGGCAGUGUGCCGGAUAACGUCCGGGACCGGAGCGUCAAGGCUUCGGGACGGCAAGUGCCACAGAGAAUAUACCGCCGCGCCCGCAAGGAUGCGGUAAGGGUGAAAAGG